GCUAACUCCGUGCCAGCAGCCGCGGUAAUACGGAGGGUGCGAGCGUUAUCCGGAAUCACUGGGCGUAAAGGGCGUGUAGGUGGUUUGUUAAGUCCGUUGUUAAAGGUUGGGGCUCAACCCCGGCAUGGCAGUGGGUACUGGCAGGCUUGACGGCUGGAGAGGCGAGUGGAAUUACCAGUGUAGCGGUGGAAUGCGUAGAUACUGGUAGGAACACCUAUGGCGAAGGCAGCUCGCUGGACAGCUCGUGACGCUGAGGCGCGAAAGUGUGGGGAGCGAACCGGAUUAGAUACCCCUGUAGUC
rnacentral:rRNA from 1 species